rnacentral:rRNA from 1 species
AGAAUGACUCUCGGCAACGGAUAUCUCGGCCCUCGCAUCGAUGAAGAACGUAGCGAAAUGCGAUACGUGGUGUGAAUUGCAGAAUCCCGCGAACCAUUGAGUCUUUGAACGCAAGUUGCGCCCGAGGCCUUCCGGCCGAGGGCACGCCUGCCUGGGCGUCACGC